GCCCGGGUGGCUCAGCGGUUGAGCGUCUGCCUUCAGCCCAGAUCCUAGAGACCUGGGGUCGAGUCCCGCAUCGGGCU
rnacentral:tRNA from 1 species